rnacentral:sRNA from 1 species
UGACCAUUCAAUCGGUGCAACGCUAUUGG